rnacentral:lncRNA from 1 species
CACACACCUGGUGUCCCAUGUCUAAAUCAGUCCCUGAUUAGAGGGGAACAAGGAAAAGAUGCAGUGGAACUGGCUUCGAGGUCCAGAGUUGAGGGGCUCCGUUGCAACCUUAGUUGGAAAAACCAAGAAGACCUCCCAUCCACUUCACAUCAAAGAAUGCCUCUUCCAUUGAGACCUGAGCCCUAGGACCAUGCCUCAGGACUACCUGGUAUGAUGACUCCUUGCUGUCCCCAGUCCACCUGGCCGUGCUGCUGCUCCAGUUUCAACUGUUCUGCCUGCGGCUAUGGAACCCUGACCUGUUCACCGGACGUGCUUGUUGCACCCUCGACAACUACUAUGAUUAUUAUUAUUUGACCAUGCUGGUCAUUUAUGAACAUUUUAACAUUUUAACAUUUUGACCAUGUUCUGUUUUAAUAUCCACCCUGCACAGCCAGAAGAGGACUGGCCACCCCUCAUAGCCUGGUUCCUCUCUAGGUUUCUUCCUAGGUUUUUGGCCUUUCUAGGGAGUUUUUCCUAGGGAGUUUUUCCUAGCCACCGUGCUUC